UGGGGAAUCUUCCGCAAUGGGCGAAAGCCUGACGGAGCAACGCCGCGUGAGUGAAGACGGCCUUCGGGUUGUAAAGCUCUGUUAUACGAGACGAAUAGUCUUGUGGUUAAUACCCAUAAGAAGUGACGGUACCGUAAGAGAAAGCCACGGCUAACUACGUGCCAGCAGCCGCGGUAAUACGUAGGUGGCAAGCGUUGUCCGGAAUUAUUGGGCGUAAAGGGCGCGCAGGCGGCUUCUUAAGUCUGUCUUAAAAGUGCGGGGCUUAACCCCGUGAUGGGAUGGAAACUGGGAAGCUCAGAGUAUCGGAGAGGAAAGCGGAAUUCCUAGUGUAGCGGUGAAAUGCGUAGAUAUUAGGAGGAACACCAGUGGCGAAAGCGGCUUUCUGGACGAAAACUGACGCUGAGGCGCGAAAGCCAGGGGAGCGAACGGGAUUAGAUACCCCGGUAGUCCUGGCCGUAAACGAUGGGUACUAGGUGUAGGAGGUAUCGACCCCUUCUGUGCCGGAGUUAACGCAAUAAGUACCCCGCCUGGGGAGUACGGCCGCAAGGUUG
rnacentral:rRNA from 1 species